GUUCUAGGCCUGCCAAGGCUACACUGUAAGACCCUGUUCCAAUCAAUCGAUCAACCAAUCAAUAAACAAAUAAAUAAGGCUAAACAAUGAGACCUUGUUUAAAUAAAUACAUAAGUAAAAAAAAACAAAUUUCAAUAUUUUUGAGAAUUUCAUACAAUGUGUUUGGAUCAUUGACCCCUGCCCUAAAUCUUCAGAUUCAUGCCACUUCCUGACCACCCAGUUUUGUCUUUCAUGUUGCCUAUGUAUUCUUUGUGUGGCCUUCCACUUUAGUGUGGUUUACUUGGUAGAGAACUACACUCUUAAAACUUUGACUUCUCCUGCCAGGCAGUGGUGGUACAUGCCUUUGGGUAGAAGCAGGUGGAUCUCAGAGUUUGAGGCCAGCCUGGUCUACAAAGGGAGUUCCAGGACAGCCAGGGCUAUACAGAGAAACCCUAAACCAUAAAAGGAAAAAAACAAAACAAAACAAACAAACAAACAAACAAACAACACCUGACUUCUCCCUUCCCCAGCAGUUCUCAGUUGCCAGUAGUUCCUUAGCUGUGGAUGUGACUUGGUGCCUGUCUCAGCUCUCCUUGUUGGGAUUUGUUUCUGCUGUCAACAACUGUUUGAGUUCAUAGGUUUAUAUAUAGCUGCCCUGUUAGUUCAUAAGACACUGUGUCCUUACAGUCAUCCUCCACCUCCUCUUACAUCCUUUUUUCCCCAUUUUCCACAAUGAUUCCAGAGCUGUGAGAGGAUGAGGAGGUCUGAUAUACAUUGCCUCAUUUAGGGUUAGACAUUCUGCAGUCUUACUCUUUGUGCCUUGACCAAUCGUGAGUAUCUGCAUUCAUCAUAAUCUCGUAGGAUUUAGUACUUCACUGAUGAGGGCUGAGAGACAGAUCAUCUGCCUAUAUAAUGAUAAGCCACUGGGAGUUGGUCCAGCACUAUGUCUGUUUUGGAGAAUAAUGGUUUUUCCUGUCGGGCCUAUGACCUGUGCAGCCACAGGUUCUUGUCUCCAGUAAUAGUGCAAGGUAUGGGUUUCAUUUUGUGGAACAGGCCUUACAUCUGAUCAGAAAAUAGUUACUUCUAUGAUGUUGAUGUCACUGCUCCUUCUGUGGGCUUGUCUUGCCAGACCAUUCCUUAUGGUAGCUCUCGGGGUUCACGGCUGGAUAAGACUGAUGAUCACAGGGUUCACAGCUGGAUGAGACCAGUGAUGACUUGUCUGCUCCAGUAGUGUGCAUAGCACCUUCCUGCUCUGUGCAAGCUAGCCAGUAGCGAUAAAGCUUCCACAUCAGACUGCUAUGAGGAUUGCAGGUCUUGACUUACACCUCAUUUCCGUACAUGUUAAACCUUGGACUGCUGCUCAGGUGCUGGGAACAGAGUCCAGGGCAUGCACAUAGUAGGCAUGUGCUCUACCACCCAGUUCAUAAGCCCAAGACUGUCAUUUGGAAGUGGAAAUACUCUUUAAUAGUGCUUAUUAUGUUUUUAGCAAGCCUUUACCAUAUUUUGAACUGCCACUCUAUGAUCACGAAUUUGGUACAGCCCUAACUCAUGUCUACAUUAUCUGUCCAUGUCAGUUUCUCUUCUCAUACUACUUCAAGCCAUAGAGCAUACUUAAUUAGUAUAUACAGCUUGUCACGUUGUUCUGUAAGUCUCUGUUUACUUUGUCUUCUCACUACAAUAGUGACUCUGAUAGCAUUAGUGCCUCACUUCUUGUUUUCCCAGCCUAGCAAGCAUUUAAGCACUCAUAAAGAUGUCCUAUCAGUAUUUUAACUUUAUUUCUUUAGAUAAACAAUGAAAUUAUUAACAUAAUCAUACUUAAUGUAUAGUUAAUGUCUUCAUUUUAUAUGUUUUAUAAAGAUUCUUAAUCCUGAACUUUUUGUAUUCUCUUAUACUUAAAAAUUAUAAGGCCCACACUCCUUUAAUCUUGAAACUCCUGAGGCCCAGACAGUUCCCGAACAGUCUGAUUUACAAGUGAGCUCUAGACCAGUCAGAGCUACAAAGUGAUAGAUAGAUAACCUGUCUCAAGAAAAUAAAUGAGUGUGUGUGUGUGUGUGUGUGUGUGUGUGUGUGUGUGUGUUUUAAUCAGUAGGGUAGAGGGGCUCACUAGUGGACUAGCCUAACUGAAAUGAAGAACUCCAGAUGCAGUUAGGGGAUUCUUUUAUCUUAAGGUGGGAGGGGUUUGGGGACAGCUAGGGAUGAGCUCUGAGGUUAAGAGUGCCUACACUUUUGCAGAAGACCUGAGUUGGUUUUCCAGCACCUAUGUUUCACAGCCACCUAUAUCUCCAGCUCCAAAGAAUCCAACAUCUUCUGACCUACACAGGCAUCCUGUACACAUCACACUCACCACACACACAUACAGACACACACAUCACAAACACAACAAACACAAUAAAUAAACAAACAAAUCUAAAAGGGGCAGGGGAGAGAUGUCUCAGCAUUUAAGAGUACAUAUCCCCUUUGAAGAGAAUCUGAAUUUGGUUUACAGUCCCCACAUCAGUAACUUACAACUGCCUAUAUGGAACUCUGCCUAUAUAGAACCCACAUCAGUAACUUACAACUGCCUAUAUGGAACUCUGGCUUCAGAGGAUUCCCACUCCUAUGUGCUCUGUGAGUACCAAGACACACCUGCACAAACAUUCACACACAUACUACACAGAGAGAGACAGAGACAGAAACAGAAAAAAGAUUGUUAUAAUUCCCAAGUAGAAAUGAAUUAGAAAUAGAAAUGAAAUAGGCGAAUUUAUUGAGGACCUGAAUUCCAUCCCUAAAAGGCACAUGGUAGGGGUAGAGAGGGCCAAGCUGUACUUUGACCAACACGUACACACUGAAGCAGGUGUGUGAACACACACACUAAAUAAAUGUAAUGAAUAUAGGGGAUUGUUGGAUGGUGGUGGCAUACUCCUUUAAUCCCAGCACUUGAAAAGCAGAGACAGUUGAUCUCUGUGAGGUUUGAGACUAGCCUGAUCUACACAGUUCAAGUAUAGCCAGGACUGCACAAAGAAACCUGUUUUGAAAAAACACAACCUCCUUCUCCC
rnacentral:lncRNA from 1 species